rnacentral:rRNA from 1 species
UAGUCUACGCUGUAAACGAUGUCAAUUAAAGGAUAGUUAUUUUAAAUAAUUAUUUUUAAAGCUAACGCGUUAAAUUGACCGCCUGGGGGGUACGACCGCAAGGUUAAAACUCAAAUGAAUUGACGGGGGCCCGCACAAGCGGUGGAGCAUGUGGUUUAAUUCGAUGCAACGCGAAGAACCUUACCUACUCUUGACACCCAAAGAAUUUUGUAGAGAUACAAAAGUGCUUUCGAGAACUUUGAGACAGGUGCUGCAUGGCUGUCGUCAGCUCGUGUUGUGAAAUGUUGGGUUAAGUCCCGCAACGAGCGUAACCCUUAUCCUUUGUUGCUAACAAGUUAAGUUGAGAACUCAAAGGAACUGCCGGUGAUAAACCGGNGGAAGGUGAGGACGACGUCAAGUCAUCAUGGCCCUUACGAGUAGGGCUACACACGUGCUACAAUGGUAUAUACAAAGAGCGGCUAUCUUGCAAAAGUAAGCAAAUCUCAUAAAGUNUAUCUAAGUCCGGAUUGAAGUCUGCAACUCGACUUCA